rnacentral:rRNA from 1 species
AUUGAACGCUGGCGGCAUGCCUUACACAUGCAAGUCGAACGGCAGCACGGGUGCUUGCACCUGGUGGCGAGUGGCGAACGGGUGAGUAAUACAUCGGAACGUACCUUAUCGUGGGGGAUAACGCAGCGAAAGCUGUGCUAAUACCGCAUAUGCCCUGAGGGGGAAAGCGGGGGAUCGAAAGACCCCGCGCGAUUAGAGCGGCCGAUGCCUGAUUAGCUUGUUGGUGGGGUAAAAGCCCACCAAGGCGACGAUCAGUAGCUGGUCUGAGAGGACGAUCAGCCACACUGGGACUGAGACACGGCCCAGACUCCUACGGGAGGCAGCAGUGGGGAAUUUUGGACAAUGGGGGCAACCCUGAUCCAGCAAUGCCGCGUGAGUGAAGAAGGCCUUCGGGUUGUAAAGCUCUUUUGUCAGGGAAGAAACACCGGCUCUAACACAGUCCGGGAAUGACGGUACCUGAAGAAUAAGCACCGGCUAACUACGUGCCAGCCGCCGCAGUAA